GUGCUUGCUUUGGCAGCACAUAUAUUAAAAUUGGAACGAUACAGAGAAGAUUAGCACGGCUCCUGUGCAAGGAUGACAUGCAAAUUCAUGAAGCGUUCCAUAUUUUU